rnacentral:rRNA from 1 species
UACGGAGGGGGUUAGCGUUGUUCGGAAUGACUGGGCGUAAAGCGCGCGUAGGCGGAUCAGGAAGUUGGGGGUGAAAUCCCGGGGCUCAACCCCGGGAAUGGCCUUCAAAAACUCCUGGUCUUGAGUUCGAGAGAGGUGAGUGGAAUUCCGAGUGUAGAGGUGAAAUUCGUAGAUAUUCGGAGGAACACCAGUGGCGAAGGCGGCUCACUGGCUCGACACUGACGCUGAGGUGCGAAAGCGUGGGGAGCAAACAGG